AAAAAGGCAAGAAAGAACGAAAGAUUCUGAUGUAACUAAUAUAUCUAUCGAUUUUUUUGUUUUGUUUUGUUUUCAUUUUUUUUUAUAUAAAAAUACUAUGUUUUGACAGACAGCGUGCAA
rnacentral:ribozyme from 14 species